UGGGGAAUUUUGGACAAUGGGCGAAAGCCUGAUCCAGCAAUGCCGCGUGUGUGAAGAAGGCCUUCGGGUUGUAAAGCACUUUUGUCCGGAAAGAAAUCCUUGGCUCUAAUACAGUCGGGGGAUGACGGUACCGGAAGAAUAAGCACCGGCUAACUACGUGCCAGCAGCCGCGGUAAUACGUAGGGUGCAAGCGUUAAUCGGAAUUACUGGGCGUAAAGCGUGCGCAGGCGGUUUGCUAAGACCGAUGUGAAAUCCCCGGGCUCAACCUGGGAACUGCAUUGGUGACUGGCAGGCUAGAGUAUGGCAGAGGGGGGUAGAAUUCCACGUGUAGCAGUGAAAUGCGUAGAGAUGUGGAGGAAUACCGAUGGCGAAGGCAGCCCCCUGGGCCAAUACUGACGCUCAUGCACGAAAGCGUGGGGAGCAAACAGGAUUAGAUACCCUGGUAGUCCACGCCCUAAACGAUGUCAACUAGUUGUUGGGGAUUCAUUUCCUUAGUAACGUAGCUAACGCAUGAAGUUGACCGCCUGGGGAGUACGGUCGCAAGAUUAAAACUCAAAUGAAUUGACGGGGUCAUAGCUGUUUCCU
rnacentral:rRNA from 1 species